rnacentral:misc_RNA from 1 species
AAUAAACCUCGACCCCCCAAAGGCCUUCACUGUGCCGUGGUGGGUUGGACUUGGACGCUGCCUUCCUAUACUAUGAAGGCUCAUCUCGAAACGUAUCAGCUGUUUCCUCGUACGCAGACAAUGGUGUGAUAAGAAAACCUGCUAGCGUCUGUGUCACAUGGGGAUGGCUUCCAGUCGUCUUUGGACAAAACACCCUAGA